rnacentral:tRNA from 1 species
GGUGACGUGGGUGAGUGGCUGAAACCACCAGUUUGCUAAACUGGCAUACUCUUAACGGGGUAUCGCGGGUUCGAAUCCCGCCGUCACCG